rnacentral:rRNA from 1 species
GUGCUCCCCCGCCAAUUCCUUUAAGUUUCAAUCUUGCGAUCGUACUCCCCAGGCGGCAGACUUAACAGCUUCCCUGCGGCACUAGAACGGCACGUGGCCGUCCAAACACCUAGUCUGCAUCGUUUACAGCUGGGACUACCCGGGUAUCUAAUCCGGUUCGCUCCCCCAGCUUUCAUCCCUCACCGUCGGGCGCGUUCUAGCAGACAGCCUUCGCCACUGGUGGUCUUCCCGGGAUUAUAGGAUUUCACCCCUACCCCGGAAAUACCGUCUGCCUCUCUCGUCCCCUAGCCAAGUAGUAUCCCCCGCAAUCCAACGAUUAAUUCGGUGGAUUUAACAGGGGACUUACCUAGCCAGCUACGGAUGCUUUAGGCCCAAUAAACAUCCACACCACUCGGAGAGCUGGUAUUACCGCGGCGGCUGACGCCAGACUUGCCCUCUCCUUAUUCCCCCAGCGUUCUAGACUGGGUAAAAGCCUUCCUCAGCGGACGGCACUCGGAGUGACCUCGUCACGCUUUCGCGCAUUGCGAAGUUCUCGCGCCUGCUGCACCCCGU